rnacentral:rRNA from 1 species
AGAGUUUGAUCCUGGCUCAGGAUGAACGCUAGCUACAGGCUUAACACAUGCAAGUCGAGGGGCAGCAUGGUCUUAGCUUGCUAAGGCCGAUGGCGACCGGCGCACGGGUGAGUAACGCGUAUCCAACCUGCCUUACACUCUUGGACAGCCUUCUGAAAGGGAGAUUAAUACAAGAUGUUAUCAUGAGUAAGCAUUUUCACAUGAUUAAAGGUUUACCGGUGUAAGAUGGGGAUGCGUUCCAUUAGAUAGUAGGCGGGGUAACGGCCCACCUAGUCUUCGAUGGAUAGGGGUUCUGAGAGGAAGGUCCCCCACAUUGGAACUGAGACACGGUCCAAACUCCUACGGGAGGCGGCAGUGAGGAAUAUUGGUCAAUGGACGAGAGUCUGAACCAGCCAAGUAGCGUGAAGGAUGAAGGUUCUAUGGAUUGUAAACUUCUUUUAUACGGGAAUAAACGAAUCCACGUGUGGAUUUUUGCAUGUACCGUAUGAAUAAGGAUCGGCUAACUCCGUGCCAGCAGCCGCGGUAAUACGGAGGAUCCGAGCGUUAUCCGGAUUUAUUGGGUUUAAAGGGAGCGUAGAUGGGUUGUUAAGUCAGUUGUGAAAGUUUGCGGCUCAACCGUAAAAUUGCAAUUGAUACUGGCAGUCUUGAGUACAGUUGAGGUAGGCGGAAUUCGUGGUGUAGCGGUGAAAUGCUUAGAUAUCACGAAGAACUCCGAUUGCGAAGGCAGCUUACUAACCUGUAACUGACAUUGAUGCUCGAAAGUGUGGGUAUCAAACAGGAUUAGAUACCCUGGUAGUCCACACGGUAAACGAUGAAUACUCGCUGUAGGCGAUAUACAGUCUGCGGCCAAGCGAAAGCAUUAAGUAUUCCACCUGGGGAGUACGCCGGCAACGGUGAAACUCAAAGGAAUUGACGGGGGCCCGCACAAGCGGAGGAACAUGUGGUUUAAUUCGAUGAUACGCGAGGAACCUUACCUGGGCUUAAAUUGCAACCGAAUAUGGCGGAAACGCUAUAGCUAGCAAUAGCGGUUGUGAAGGUGCUGCAUGGUUGUCGUCAGCUCGUGCCGUGAGGUGUCGGCUUAAGUGCCAUAACGAGCGCAACCCUUGCCGAUAGUUACUAACAGGUUAUGCUGAGGACUCUGUCGGGACUGCCAUCGUAAGAUGUGAGGAAGGUGGGGAUGACGUCAAAUCAGCACGGCCCUUACGUCCGGGGCUACACACGUGUUACAAUGGGGGGUACAGAGGGCUGCUACCACGCAAGUGGAUGCCAAUCCCAAAAACCUCUCUCAGUUCGGAUUGAAGUCUGCAACUCGACUUCAUGAAGCUGGAUUCGCUAGUAAUCGCGCAUCAGCCACGGCGCGGUGAAUACGUUCCCGGGCCUUGUACACACCGCCCGUCAAGCCAUGGGAGCCGGGGGUACCUGAAGUGCGUAACCGCAAGGAGCGCCCUAGGGUAAAACUGGUGACUGGGGCUAAGUCGUAACAAGGUAGCCG